UAACAUUGACUCUGAACAGGGUAAGGAAGUGUUUGGUUAUGGUUAUAUAAACAAACAAAAGGGUACAGGCUCAAUGGGGUUAAUAAGGGAUAAUAUUAAAGGGGUGGCUAGAAAGGCUCAGGGCUAUUAUUCAAACAAUGUGCCUUAGUGUGUGUGUAUAUGCAGUGAUAUUCCCAGAGAACCUACGCAAAGUCAAAGUGAUAAAGAAAUACCUAAAUAUCGCUCAUGAUGACAAAUGCGUUUGGCUU
rnacentral:lncRNA from 1 species